rnacentral:snRNA from 1 species
GUACUCACAUCAGCAGUACAUAUACUAAAAUUGGAAUAAUACAGAUAAGAUUAACAUGGACCCUUUGCAAGGAUGACAUGAAAAUUCAUGAAGCAUUCCAUAUUUUU